rnacentral:rRNA from 1 species
AGGACGAACGCUGGCGGCGUGCUUAACACAUGCAAGUCGAGCGGUAAGGCCUUUCGGGGUACACGAGCGGCGAACGGGUGAGUAACACGUGGGUGAUCUGCCCUGCACUUCGGGAUAAGCCUGGGAAACUGGGUCUAAUACCGGAUAUGACCUCCUAUCGCAUGGUGGGUGGUGGAAAGAUUUAUCGGUGCAGGAUGGGCCCGCGGCCUAUCAGCUUGUUGGUGGGUAAUGGCCUACCAAGGCGACGAC